GUCGAGACGAAGAGGACGGGAGGUAGUGUACAGCACCAUGAAGCUUAUGGCCCUGCCCCCAUAGCUGCUUCUCCAGUGCACACAACAAUUGUAUUUUAUUAAGUGUUAUUAAAUCUCCCUUCCUGAUGAUUUGCGUAAAAAGAUUGAAAGGAAGCCUUUUCACAAUUUCUAUUUGUCAAUACAGACAACCAAUAGAACUUAUAGAUGUCGAGCUGCCCAAGUGCCACAGCCUGGCAUACAUCUCCUGGCCCCUCCUUGACUGAUGCGGGUGUCUGCAGCUCACAGGAGCAAAUACAGCUGACAUCCCUUUUAUUAUGUUCCACCACUUUACAGGUCGGCAUGAGGACUAAUUUUUUGCACCGUGAUCUGAAGUUUUUAUUGUUACCAUUUUUGUUUUGAUCAGACUUUUUGAUCACUUUUUAUAAAUUUUUUAAUGGUAUAAAAAGUGACCAAAAAUAAGUUUUGCACUUUUUUGGAUGCUUUUUUUUACGUGUACGCCAUUGACCGUGCGGUUUAAUUAACAAUGUAUUUUUAUAGUUCGACAUUUACACACGCGGCAAUACCACAUAUGUUUAUUUUUAUUUACACUGUUUUAUUUUUUAUUUUUUUAUGGGAAAAGGGGGGUGAUUCAAACUUUUAUUAGGGAAGGGGUUCAAUGACCUUUAUUUACACAUUAUUUUUUUACUUUUUUUUUUGCAGUGUUAUAGCUCCCAUAGGGACCUAUAACACUGAACACACUGAUCUUUUACAAUGAUCACUGGCGUGUAUUAACACGCCUGUGAUCAGUGUUAUCGGCGCUUGACUGCUCCUGCCUGAAUCUCAGGCACGGAGCAGUAAUUCGCCGAUUGGACACGGAGGAGGCAGGUAAGGGCCCUCCCGGUGUCCGGUCAGCUGUUCAGGAUGCCGCAAUUUCAGCCGGGAUACUUUCACUUUCACUUCAGAUGCGGCGGUCAGCUUUGAUCGCCGCGUAUGAAGGGUUAAUACAGGGCAUUACCGCGAUCGGUGAUGUCCUGUAUUAGCCACGGGUCCCGGCCGUUGAUAGCCACCGGGACCGACCCGAUAUGACGCGGGGUCACAGGACGUAAAUAUAAGUACUUCGUCGUUAAAGGGGUAUUCCGGUGGAAAUUUUUUUUUUUUUUUUUUUGUUAACUGGUGCCAGAAAGUUAAUCAGAUUUGUAUAUCACUUCUAUUAAAAAAUCUUUUCAGUAAUUUUUAGCAGCUGUUUGCUACAGAGGAAAAUCUUUAUUUUUUUAAUUUCUUUUUUGUGUUGUCCACAGUGCUCUCUGCUGACACCUCUGUCCGUGUCAGGAACUGUCCAGAGCAGGAGAAAAUCCC